AACGAACGCUGGCGGCAUGCCUAACACAUGCCAGUCGAACGAUUGCCUUCGGGUGAUAGUGGCGCACGGGUGCGUAACGCGUGGGAAUCUGCCCCUAGGUUCGGAAUAACAGCUGGAAACGGCUGCUAAUACCGGAUGAUAUCGCGAGAUCAAAGAUUUAUCGCCUGAGGAUGAGCCCGCGUUGGAUUAGGUAGUUGGUGGGGUAAAGGCCUACCAAGCCGACGAUCCAUAGCUGGUCUGAGAGGAUGAUCAGCCACACUGGGACUGAGACACGGCCCAGACUCCUACGGGAGGCAGCAGUGGGGAAUAUUGGACAAUGGGCGCAAGCCUGAUCCAGCAAUGCCGCGUGAGUGAUGAAGGCCCUAGGGUUGUAAAGCUCUUUUACCCGGGAAGAUAAUGACUGUACCGGGAGAAUAAGCCCCGGCUAACUCCGUG
rnacentral:rRNA from 1 species